UUGAGAACAAACUCAUCGGUUCCCAUAAGAUGAAGUCUUCUGAGAGCUGAAGCAGAGGCAGACACACUAAGUGCCACAGAGCCUUUUCCAGGCACUAAGCAGUCCACAUUCAGUGCAUACGUCUUGAGAUCUUGAAAAAUUAGAGGGCUGGACAACUACCAACCACAUGAAUUUUAACAAGACAUGUCUUAGCCUGGACUUCAAUACGCUGUUCAUACAGAGGAGGAAACAUUGGCGUUCAAUAAAUGGUUU
rnacentral:lncRNA from 1 species